rnacentral:lncRNA from 1 species
CUUGCGCUAUCAUCCCCCGCCACGGCCACUAUCCCUCCAACCGACUAUGGGGAACAGUGGCGUACACACGCACUAUAGCGAAAUACGCAAAAAGGUGCAAACUAGAUAGCAACAGAAUAGACCUCACUCGAAAUGCUAGCUAAAAUAUGUAAAAAGGUGCACAAAGUAAACAAGAGAGCGGGAGGUACCAACUCCCGGUGGAAAAACCUGAAAUUAUGCUUUGAUGCGUCCAAGUUUUCCUGAAGCUUCGUGUAGUUCUAUUGCGUCCUGCCGCGAGUCUGGACGGGAGUCACCGUGAGUACUGUGGCUUGCCGGAAAUCCUCGCCGGUAAAAUAGGCACCUGUCCAAGAUAACAAAACACACCCACACACACCCACAAAAAAGCAGAGGAGAGAAUAGAAAGAAAAGAGCAGGAGUUGCCGGAAAAAUUUCCGGCGAAAAGCGAGAAUUCCAGACCUCUAAAUAAUAUUACCAAAAUAAUUUGACCGGCUGACAACGUCGAGAAAUCUACAAACCCUAGAUUUGAUAAAACCUCUCUGAACCAAUGAAGACUUCAGACUAAUGUUUCUGAGUAGCCUAUUGCUGGUGUAUG